AAUGAACGCUGGCGGCGCGCCUAAUACAUGCAAGUCGAGCGAGAAGACGUAGCAAUACGUUUGUAAAGCGGCGAACGGGUGAGGAAUACAUGGGUAACCUACCCUAGAGUGGGGAAUAACUAGCCGAAAGGUUAGCUAAUACCGCGUACGCUCCUUGGACUUCGGUUCAGGGAGGAAAGCGAUACCGAGGGUAUCGCGCUCUUGGAUGGGCUCAUGUCCUAUCAGCUUGUUGGUGAGGUAACGGCUCACCAAGGCUUCGACGGGUAGCUGGUCUGAGAGGACGAUCAGCCACACUGGCACUGCGACACGGGCCAGACUCCUACGGGAGGCAGCAGUAAGGAAUAUUGCGCAAUGGGCGAAAGCCUGACGCAGCGACGCCGCGUGGGGGAUGAAGGCCC
rnacentral:rRNA from 1 species